rnacentral:tRNA from 1 species
GGUCGCAUAGCUCAGAGGCUAGAGCGAUUGCUUUACACGCAAUGGGUCGCAGGUUCGAUCCCUGCUGCGGUCA